rnacentral:misc_RNA from 1 species
GAAAUGCGAUAAGUAAUGUGAACUGCAGAAUUCAGUGAAUCAUCGAAUCUUUGAACGCACAUUGCGCCCGCCAGCACUCUGGCGGGCAUGUCUGUUCGAGCGUCAUUUCAACCCUCAGAACCCCUUGCGGGAUCUGGCGUUGGGGAUUGGCAUCCAGCCAGCCCCGAAAUCUAGUGGCGGUCCCUCCGCGACCUCCCCUGUGCAGUAGCGAUACCUCGCAGCGGGACAGCGGUCUGACCACGCCGUAAAACCCCCAACUUCUCAAGGUUGACCUCGAAUCAGGUAGGAAUACCCGCUGAACUUAAGC